GCACUGGUGGCUCAGUGGUAGAAUUGUCGCCUCCCACGCGGUAGACCCGGGUUCGAUUCCUGGCCAAUGCA